AAGAAGGCACUGUGAUGAUUACAUAGUUCAACUGAAGUACUCUUACUAAGUACUAUGUCGAGUUAAUUUUCUUUCGCUCCUAUCUGAACCUCUUC
rnacentral:snoRNA from 1 species